AUUGAACGCUGGCGGCAGGCCUAACACAUGCAAGUCGAGCGGAUGAAGGGAGCUUGCUCCUGGAUUCAGCGGCGGACGGGUGAGUAAUGCCUAGGAAUCUGCCUGGUCGUGGGGGAUAACGUCCGGAAACGGGCGCUAAUACCGCAUACGUCCUGAGGGAGAAAGUGGGGGAUCUUCGGACCUCACGCUAUCAGAUGAGCCUAGGUCGGAUUAGCUAGUUGGUGGGGUAAAGGCCUACCAAGGCGACGAUCCGUAACUGGUCUGAGAGGAUGAUCAGUCACACUGGAACUGAGACACGGUCCAGACUCCUACGGGAGGCAGCAGUGGGGAAUAUUGGACAAUGGGCGAGAGCCUGAUCCAGCCAUGCCGCGUGUGUGAAGAAGGUCUUCGGAUUGGAAAGCACUUUAAGUUGGGAGGAAGGGCAGUAAGUUAAUACCUUGCUGUUUUGACGGUACCAACAGAAUAAGCACCGGCUAACUUCGUG
rnacentral:rRNA from 1 species